UACGAAGGGGGGCUAGCGUUGUCCGGAAUCAUUGGGCGUAAAGAGCGUGUAGGCGGUCCGGUAAGUCCGCUGUGAAAGUCGGGGGCUCAACCCUCGAAUGCCGGUGGAUACUGUCGGGCUAGAGUACGGAAGAGGCGAGUGGAAUUCCUGGUGUAGCGGUGAAAUGCGCAGAUAUCAGGAGGAACACCAAUUGCGAAGGCAGCUCGCUGGGACGUUACUGACGCUGAGACGCGAAAGCGUGGGGAGCAAACAGG
rnacentral:rRNA from 1 species